rnacentral:misc_RNA from 1 species
GAUGAAGAACGUAGUGAAAUGCGAUAAGUAAUGUGAAUUGCAGAAUUCAGUGAAUCAUCGAAUCUUUGAACGCAUCUUGCGCUCCUUGGUAUUCUGAGGAGCAUGCCUGUUUGAGUGUCAUUAAAUUCUCAACCUUUUCAGCUUUCUUUGUUGAUCAGGCUUGGAUGUGGGAGUAUGCGGGCUUCUCAGAAGUCGGCUCUCCUGAAAUGCAUUAGCGGGACCUUUGUUGCCUGGCUUUGGUGUGAUAAUUAUCUACGCCAUUGUAGUCAAGCAGCUUAAAAUGAGGUUUCAGCUUCUAACCGUCUCCCCUGAGACAACUUUUUGACAAUUUGACCUCAAAUCAGGUAGGACUACCCGCUGAACUUAAGCAUAUCAAUAAGCGGAGGA